CCUAAUUUAAAUAACAAAUUAUCGUUUGUGUUAUUAGUUUGGUUCAUUAUUUCUGGCAGUUUCUGGUACGUGGAAUUUGAAGACAAUUACACCAUAAGUUUAUCGACAGCGGUAGUUAUUCAGUAACUGUGUUUGACGCUCUAAGGGCCAACGUUGUAUUGACAUUUCAUUUGCAAUUCUUUUAGUCAAAUUACAUUUCCGAAUUCCGUUUUUUCAUACGAUAUUUAUAAAACGGAGGUUUGUCAUUAUUUAUUUUUCCAUGUAAAUUCUACCAUGUCGUGAAGUUUAAUGAAAUUGAGAUAUUUAUGAUAUUAUGAUGAGCUUUAAGUAAACCGUUUGAAAUUAUAAUAAAUAAUUUUUAUUAAAUUAAUCAAUGGACUAUUCUAGAUAAAAAAAGAUUUAAUGGAUCGUUGGUGGCGUUUUGUCUGAAUCAAAUUCUGCGUAUGCAAUUAAUCGAUAUAAAAAAUUAUUGUUAUGAUAUUAAAAGCGUGAGAUUACGGUGCUACGCUGUAAACAUAAUGAAAACAAAUUAAGCUAAGUAUCGAGCGGCAGAUAUGUACCAACGACGAGGAGCCUCCUGCGACUACAACAUUUAAAAGGAAUGACAUAAAAAACAAAAGAAAAAAAAGGUGAAUCGACGUGAGUGGAACGUCACCGCUUCCGUCACAUAUGUUUCAUUUUUUCUUUUAUUACAAAGCUGUAAGAUGCGAAAAGAAAGGAAUAAUUAACGUCGAAGCACUGUAAUAACUAGCGAAUAUAUGUAUAAAUGUUGUAAAAUUCAUUAGUACCACUAUCAUUCGUGGUUUGCUGUGUGUGGCUAUGUGUGAUUCUGUCUAGUGUAUGUACUUGUUAAAAAUUGUUAAAAGUGUAAGGUUUGCGCAGUUGGCUAUUAAUAAAUUUCCAACACACUUCAAUAGGUGAUACAAACGUGUUUGAGUCCGAUGUAACAAAGAAAUUAAUGAAUAAAUAUGACGAGAAACAAAAGGAUAAGAGAAAGACGAAAACAGAAGUAAACGACAUAAAUAUAUAAUAAAAGAUACAACGAAAGCUGAGAAUUAUUUGCAGGAAAGAAAGAAAGAAAACUAGGAAAAGAAUUAGAUAGAAAGACUAAAAUGACGUUAAGAUUGAAGAGAGCGUAUAUAUAGAAUUUGAAAGAGGACAAAAAAAAAGAAACAAAAGAAAAAUAAACAAUAAGAAUGAAGGAGGAAAAAGUGGUGGCCAGGUAAGAGAAAAAGAGAGCCUGUAGCAGUGACAUGCAGCCUUUUAAGGGGGUCUCACAUCGGUGGCCACUGCAGUGUCGGUCUCGGAACGUGCACUGAGAUACGACAUAGAUGAUUUCUUCCUUGUUAAAGGCACACUCCGACGACGUAGUCUCAGCGCGUCCUUUUCAGUCCCUCCGUACAUGGCGACGUGUGUCGCGAUCUCAAUGUCUGUCUUAAUCAGCGUGUUCAUCAGCUGCAAGGGGACCACACUUUUGAAUCAUUUCUUUCCAUGCGUUACCAAUUGCCUUUUGUUUGCGCUGUACUUGUUGUCUGCUGUCUGAUGACUCCUCGACGGGCCAAGGAUUAGAGAACAAUUGUGAAAAAUGGGCGGGGGUGAUCAUUGCAAAAGGGUUGAAAGGGGGUUUGGGCCAGUGGUAGAUCGAUAGAAUAAUGCGAGGACUUUACGCACACACGGAGAUCAAGUCAACCUUUGGCCAUGAUCCCAUGAUCCAUCUGAUAGAUUCGUUGAGGAACGAACUGUGAAUU